UGGGGAAUUUUGGACAAUGGGCGAAAGCCUGAUCCAGCCAUGCCGCGUGAGUGAAGAAGGCCUUCGGGUUGUAAAGCUCUUUUAGUUGGAAAGAAAGAGUUGCAAUGAAUAAUUGUGAUUUAUGACGGUACCGACAGAAAAAGCACCGGCUAACUACGUGCCAGCAGCCGCGGUAAUACGUAGGGUGCGAGCGUUAAUCGGAAUUACUGGGCGUAAAGGGUGCGCAGGCGGUCUUGCAAGUCAGAUGUGAAAGCCCCGGGCUUAACCUGGGAAUUGCGUUUGAAACUACAAGACUAGAGUGCAGCAGAGGGGAGUGGAAUUCCAUGUGUAGCAGUGAAAUGCGUAGAGAUGUGGAAGAACACCGAUGGCGAAGGCAGCUCCCUGGGUUGACACUGACGCUCAUGCACGAAAGCGUGGGGAGCAAACA
rnacentral:rRNA from 1 species